rnacentral:rRNA from 1 species
CAGUCGCCGCGGUAAUACAGAGGAUGCAAGCGUUAUCCGGAAUGAUUGGGCGUAAAGCGUCUGUAGGUGGCUUUUCAAGUCCGCCGUCAAAUCCCAGGGCUCAACCCUGGACAGGCGGUGGAAACUACCAAGUUGGAGUACGGUAGGGGCAGAGGGAAUUUCUGGUGGAGCGGUGAAAUGCGUUGAGAUCGGAAAGAACACCAACGGUGAAAGCACUCUGUUGGGCCGACACUGACACUGAGAGACGAAAGCUAGGGGAGCAAAUGGGAUUAGAUACCCGGGUAGUCCCUGUCUCUUAUAC